rnacentral:rRNA from 1 species
UACGUAGGGGGCAAGCGUUGUCCGGAAUUAUUGGGCGUAAAGAGCGCGUAGGCGGUCCGAUAAGUCGGCUGUGAAAGUCCAAGGCUCAACCUUGGGAUGCCGGUCGAUACUGCCGGACUAGAGUUCGGAAGAGGCGAGUGGAAUUCCCGGUGUAGCGGUGAAAUGCGCAGAUAUCGGGAGGAACACCUAUGGCGAAGGCAGCUCGCUGGGACGUUACUGACGCUGAGACGCGGAAAGCGUGGGGAGCAAACAGG